CAAUAGGCUUGGGUUAAAGCCCACCCGAUAGACUCACGACAGUUUCAGCCCCCGCCUCCGAUUGGUCAGCGUCCGAUUGCUACAUCGCGUUCUUUGAGGCGACGUUCUCCGAUUGGUCUAACCCGCGCGUCAGUCAGGGCGGCUGGGCGGGACGAGAGCGGCUCCAAGGGGAGAUCGAUGGAUUGCGGGUCGUAGAGGGGUGGUCGCCGACGGGCAUUUGAAAUACUCGGCCUGAAGAGAGCUGGAAGUCCUGAGGUGGAAUGCAUGUCUGGCUCUCAGACUUCAUCCAUGAGCACCACCUACCCAAGCCCAGUUACAGGACCAUGUCGGGAGUGUAGGCGCUGGACCUUUAAGUGGAAUAUCUCCAGACAGCAAAUAUGUUUGGAACACAGUUUUUAAUAUAUCUACAGUGAGCAACGUAGCAAGGUGCAGAACAGGCCUCCCAGCCCUUUGAGCUGCUCUGCCCAGCAAGCCCCGAUUUCACCCUAGGCUAAUCAUGGGACGUUUUACCGUGAUCAAUUAACCUACCAACUGGUGUGCCUUUGGACUGUGGGAGGAAACUGGAGAACCCGGAGGAAACCCAUGUGGCCAUGGGGAGAAUGGACAGACUCCUUACAGACAGCGGAGUGAACUGCUGGCGCUGUAAAGCGCUGUGCAAAACAGCUAAGCUACUGCGCCACCCUGCAAAGGAAACCGGGUAGCCUUUUCUGUAAACGCUAGAGACGGUUGUGCGUGAAAAUCACAGAUCAGCAGUGUCUGAGAUACUCAAACCACCCCAUCCGGCACCAACAAUCACUCCACGGUCAAAGCCAUGUUUCUUCCCCCAUUCUAACGUUUGGUCUGAACAUCAACUGAACCUCCUGACCACGUCUGCACAGUUUUAUGCAUUGAGUUGCUGCCACGUG